UCAGGUAGGGAGUGUGAGACUGUUCAGCUGAACACGUGCUAUGAGAUGAGAAAAGCCCCCACACAGGAAGAAGGCUGAGGAGGCAUCCCAAAACAUCCCACACGUGCUCUCUUAAGGAUUAAGACGGCCUCAUGAUUAUUCUCUUGCUUAAAUUUUGCUUAAGAAAGUAACGUUAAAAGUUUAGCAUAUUACAGAGAAUCUUACCAAUAUCAUUAACAUCACCCACUGUCUAACUGAGUUUCAUCAUGAUUCUACAGGAUUCAACUGGCUAACUGGUUCCUUUUUCUAAUUAAACAAGUUUCACUUCAGUAGAGGUACUCUUUUUGUUCUAGUUUGUAUAUCCAACAAGA